AAAGACACCAGUUGGAGAGGAGGAGGGAAGAACUAGAGUGAGCAACAGCCCCGCGAACACUGGAGGAGGAGGAGGGGGAGGAGGUGCGCCAGGACCAGGGCAGAGACCCCCCCUGCAGCCUGGGGAGAAGAUGGCUCUGGAGCAGGUACCCACACGGCAGCCCACAGGGGAUCCUGUGCCAGAGCUGGUCGAUAUUCCUGAAGGAGCUGAGGCCUCUGGAGAGCCCACGUUGGAGCAGGGGGAAAGUACGAGAGGGAAAGAGCAGCAGAGAGAAACAGCUAGGUACUGACCAUACUCACUGCCUCCCUGGGCAGCGCACGGUGGGUAGAGGAGUCUGGAGACUCUGGGAAAGCGAGAGGAAAGAUACUGCUUUAAGGAUAUUUUUGUCCGUGAAGGGGUACCCUGAACUCAUGUGAUUCAGACACAGUCACCAGUGCAAAUGGCCAAGGGUGCAAAUGGCCAAGACAGACUCAAUAUGCAUUGCAGAAGAGAUAAGAAAGCCAGAAGAAGAACAGAUGUGUUAGAAGUGUGAAAUGGAUUAACAUCAAAGCCCCCUGGGAAAAUCUGAAACAUGAAAUGAAGGAUCCUGAAUGACAAGAGCUAUUCAGAAUGCAUUAAAAGCUCUGCAGUGCAUUUUGGUGCUGUCUGUGUGAGCAACGCGAGGCCCUGUGUGCUAGGGAGAGAUGCUGAUAACGAAAGCUCUGUGAACUUCAGGGAAAUUCAGUUCAUCGCUGAGAACUCACCUUGUGGUACAAUUUGAAUGAGAUAGAAAAAGCACCCAAACUAGUGAUUGCCAAUAUUUAUUGUCCCCAGUGAUAUGAAGUGAAUAGAUAAUUUAAGCCUUGGACUACGCUGUAGGUGAACCAGUCAUGAUUUGAAAAUCAGAGCCUAUUUUAGUUAUAUAUUCUUUGAGUGUUUAAAGCUGUCUGUUAUUCAUCAGUUGACAGAUUAGCAUGGACAGCAUAUUUUGAUAUGCUCAAAAUCAGAGAAGGUAAACAAGAAAAAACAAUGUAAGAGAUAUCUUUUCAAUUUCUUGAUUUUCACACAGAUUAUUUGGAAGCAGAUUAUUUAUAGUUUAGGCAAAUUUACAUUCAUAAAUGGUUUCUGAACUGGCAGGCACUGGUAUCUUUAUAGGUAUUGAUAGAAAGAGGUCACCAAUAUUCAAAAUGUGAAGAAGACUGUACAGACUAUUGCUGAGUUUUUACUUCAUCUAAACUCAAUAAAAGUCAAAGGAAGUUGGUCACAUAAUACAGAAAUUAUAUCAAAAUUUAGUCCCCACUUUAUGGCAGACUGAAUUUACUGCACUUUCAGAAUAUAAAUCUCAUACUAGACAUUUUGGACAAGUCCAGCUAAAAUUCACAGAAAAGGACAGUCUUUCAGUUGGCUACAAUGGAUUUCUGAUGAGGACUCAGAAGAACUUACAGUGAAAAGCUUCCUGAAGACAUUUCCAGCACUUCACACAAUACGAAUUGUAUUCAUUCCUGAAUAUCUCUCUUGUACAGACAUCAUCAUGACUUGAGUGAAAAUCUCAGGCCUUUAACUUCCAUUCCAAGUGGUGUUUUCAUCCCACUGCUGAUACAGACCACAGGGUGAUUUAAGCCAGACGGCUUCCCUCGACAGGGUGCUGCUUUAGUCAUCUGCAGGUGUCAGGCUAGGUAAGAAACGAAACAAAAACAACAAAAAAGCCCGACAAACAAAAGCAGGAUUUCUCACAAUCUGAAAAACAGGCCAGUCCUCAGAGAUUAGCAUCCUCUUGGUGCAAAGAUUUCUGCCUCUAUUGAUCUCUGCCAAUUUUGGACAGGUGCGUCAGGGUCUGAUACAAGCGAAUUUAUGAAGCAGACAGUUCCAUAAUUUUUCAGCCUUGUCUGGCAGUUAAGUUCAUAUAUUGUCCAAAAUAUGUCAUGACCUUUAGAGAGUUUCCAACUUACUUAUGUAUACUAUUAAGAAAACCCAUUACUUGUAGACUGAGGUACAUCCACUGCAACUGCCAUACAUGCAAUUGACUGAUUCUUAUGAGCUUCUUUUCUGCUUCUUUUUUUUUAAAUGGCAAGGGAUUAACUUGAAAUGACAUAACUUUCUUUUACUCUGUACUGGUAAAGCUUUUAAAAAUAUAACCAGAGGACAAUUCAUUUUGAUGCUUUUAAAGUAAAAUAACAUUCUCCAGACUGAAAGUUUUAUAGUUAGGAGAAUCUAUUCUAACAGAAUCUAUUAGUUUGUAAAUCAAUAUCCCCUGUUGAUUAAUUUCCUAAUAAAAAGUGCAUAUAUCUUUAUGCUCUAUUCUACUGAGUUCAGUUGUAUUAUUGGACUAAACAACACGAUUCUUCAACCCUUAUUUAUGUUCGCACAAAUAAUCCCAUUAUAUGUUCAACAUAACAGCUGAUAAAAUGAUUAUUCUCAGAAUGUGCAUUCCAGCAUAGAAAGUUUUUGGCACAGACCGAACUUAAAAUUUUAAAUAGCAUGUGCAAGAGUUGGACGCGCAGGGAGAGGUUGAUCUUACUUAAUUUUAGAGUUAUAUAGCUGAACAAGUCAUCUUUGCCUCCCUUUAUAGUCAACAGAGAAAAAUAAGCUGUAUGAGAGAACCAUUUGCCUGACAUUUUAAGGAUCUAUUUAAGAGUGAAAUAAAUCACAGCCUAGGUUUUUUUAUUUCUAUCCAGCAACUAUACAGGGAGUGGCUAAUUUAGUUAUUAUAGGUUUUUGAAAACUUGUCCUUGUAUCCAUCACUUUUAAUUGGAAUUAAGCAUUACCAUGUCUACAGUAUAAAACAGAUAGGCUAUCUGUGUAAAAAAAAAAAUCAAACCAAACCAAAACCUAUGUUAUUUUGAAAUAUAAGGCUCCCCCAAAUGAUGAUUUUGAAGCAUUGAGAUACAAAGUUCAGUCUACUGAAAUAGAAGUGGAAGGCUGACUUAAACUAUAAUAAGCAGUUCUCAAAAUGAUGCUCUAUGUAAGUUUGCCAUGUAGUUGACACAUAUUUUCUUCCAAAUAGGAAGAGUUGUGCCUAUGGGUAUAUCUGAGUGCCUCAUCAUGAUGUUGUAGAUGAAACUUUCUCUGUUGUCUUUAUGAAUCCAUUCUCUGCAGCUGUACUUAGUUUUGUGAUAGCCGAAAUAAAUACAGUAGAGACUUGAAAUUUUUAGAGACUAGAACUUCGUGUCAUACUUCAUGUAAUACAACUUCAGUUGCACUUACAUUCAUGCCGGAGUAUAAAAGACUUCUUCAGCUUACAUAUUGUGAGAUACCUUAUAUGAUGCUAAAGAAUAAUUCAAGUAUCCAUGACAGUUUGCAGGUACAGUCCAAAAUUUUCAAAUUAACUAUUUAAACAAAUAAGACCAGUUUGU